rnacentral:rRNA from 1 species
ACCUUAUUUUAAGUUCUUUGCUUGAUUAGUAAUAGUUAUUUUCUUUAAACUUAAAGGAUUUGGCGGUAUUUUAGUCUAGUUAGAGGAACCUGCUCAGUAAACGAUAUGCCACGUAUAAUCUUUCUUUAUUUAGUGUUUCAGUUUGUAUACCGCCAUUAUUAAAUAAUGUUUAUAAACAAGUAUUGUAAUAUUUUUUUGUUAGUAUAUUAGGUCAAGGUGCAGUCAAUGAUAAAGUUGAAGUGGGUUACAUUUAUUUUUAUUAAGGUCGGACGUUAAAUUUAAUAAUUUUUCUAAAGGUGGAUUUAAUUGUAAUUAUGUUUUAAUAAGGCAUUAUGAUACAAGCUCUAUAAUAUGU